rnacentral:rRNA from 1 species
AUUGAACGCUGGCGGCAUGCCUUACACAUGCAAGUCGAACGGCAGCACGGGAGCAAUCCUGGUGGCGAGUGGCGAACGGGUGAGUAAUAUAUCGGAACGUGCCCAGUCGUGGGGGAUAACGUAGCGAAAGCUACGCUAAUACCGCAUACGAUCUAUGGAUGAAAGCGGGGGAUCGCAAGACCUCGCGCGAUUGGAGCGGCCGAUAUCAGAUUAGGUAGUUGGUGGGGUAAAGGCUCACCAAGCCGACGAUCUGUAGCCGGUCUGAGAGGACGACCAGCCACACUGGGACUGAGACACGGCCCAGACUCCUCCGGGAGGCAGCAGUGGGGAAUUUUGGACAAUGGGCGCAAGCCUGAUCCAGCAAUGCCGCGUGCAGGAUGAAGGCCUUCGGGUUGUAAACUGCUUUUGUACGGAGCGAAAAGGCUUCCACUAAUACUGGGGGCUCAUGACGGUACCGUAAGAAUAAGCACCGGCUAACUACGUGCCAGCCGCCGCGGUAAAAC